rnacentral:rRNA from 1 species
UACGUAGGGUGCGAGCGUUGUCCGGAAUUAUUGGGCGUAAAGAGCGUGUAGGCGGCCAAGUAGGUCCGUUGUGAAAACUGGAGGCUUAACCUCCAGCUGUCGAUGGAAACCAUUUGGCUAGAGUCCGGAAGAGGAGAGUGGAAUUCCUGGUGUAGCGGUGAAAUGCGCAGAUAUCAGGAAGAACACCCGUAGCGAAGGCGGCUCUCUGGGACGGUACUGACGCUGAGACGCGAAAGCGUGGGGAGCGAACAGG